ACCCCAUAACAACAUCCCCACCCUAUAACAGUGUCCAUCCACCCCAUAACAGUGUCCCCACCCCAUAGCCAUGUCCAUCGACCCCAUAGCAACAUCCCAACCCCAUAGCCGUGCCCCCACCCCAUAGCCGUGUCCAUCGACCCCAUAGCAACAUCGCCACCCCAUAGCCAUGUCCAUCCACCCUAUAACAGUGUCCCCACCCCAUAGCCAUGUCCAUCGACCCCAUAGCAACAUCCCAACCCCAUAGCCGUGCCCCCACCCCAUAGCCGUGUCCAUCGACCCCAUAGCAACAUCGCCACCCCAUAGCCACAUCGUCACCCCAUAGCCAUGUCCAUCCACCCUAUAACAGUGCCCCCACCCCAUAGCAGUGCCCCCACCCCAUAGCAUCACCCCCACCCCCCAUCCGUGUCCAUCCACCCCAUCUCCGCGGCGUCCGUCUGUCCGUCCGUCCAUCCCAAUGGUGUCCGUCUGUCCGUCCAUUGCAGUGCCGUCCGUCCAUCCAUCCCAAUGGUGUCCGUCUGUCUGUCCGUCCAUUGCAGUGCUGUCCAUCUGUCCAUCCAUCCCAAUGAUGUCCGUCUGUCUGUCCACCCCAAUGACGUCCAUCCAUCCCAACGGUGUCCGUCUGUCCAUCCAUCCCAAUGGUGUCCGUCUGUCCAUCCAUUGCAGUGCUGUCCGUCCCAUUUGGGUGUCCGUCUGUCCAUCCAUCCAUCCCAAUGGUGUCCGUCUGUCCGUCCAUCACAGUGCUGUCCGUCCAUCUCAAUGGUGUCCGUCCGUCCGUCCAUCCCAAUGACAUCCAUCCAUCCCAAUGGUGUCCGUCUGUCCGUCCAUCACAGUGCUGUCCGUCCAUCUCAAUGGUGUCCGUCUGUCCGUCCAUCCCAAUGACAUCCAUCCAUCCCAAUGAUGUCCGUCUGUCCGUCCGUCCCAAUGGUGUCCGUCCGUCCGUCCAUCCAUCACAGUGCCGUCCAUCCGUCCCAUUGCGGUGUCCGUCUGUCCGUCUGUCCAUCCCAAUGGUGUCCGUCUGUCCGUCCAUCACAGUGCUGUCCGUCCAUCCCAAUGGUGUCCGUCUGUCCAUCCAUCCCAAUGACAUCCAUCCAUCCCAAUGGUGUCCGUCUGUCCGUCCAUUGCAGUGCUGUCCGUCCAUCCAUCCCAUUGCGGUGUCCAUCUGUCCGUCCAUCCCAAUGGUGUCCGUCCGUCCGUCCAUCCAUCACAGUGCCGUCCAUCCGUCCCAUUGCGGUGUCCGUCUGUCCGUCCAUCCAUCCCAAUGGUGUCCGUCUGUCCGUCCAUCACAGUGCUGUCCGUCCAUCCCAAUGGUGUCCGUCUGUCCAUCCAUCCCAAUGACAUCCAUCCAUCCCAAUGGUGUCCGUCUGUCCGUCCGUCCAUUGCAGUGCUGUCCGUCCAUCCAUCCCAAUGGUGUCCGUCUGUCCGUCCAUCCAUUGCAGUGCUGUCCAUCCAUCCAUCCCAUUGCGGUGUCCGUCUGUCCGUCCGUCCCAAUGAUGUCCGUCCAUCCAAAUGGUGUCCGUCCAUCCAUCCCAAUGGUGUCCGUCUGUCUGUCCAUCACAGUGCUGUCUGUCCAUCCCAAUGGUGUCCGUCUGUCCGUCCGUCCAUUGCAGUGCUGUCCGUCCAUCCAUCCCAAUGGUGUCCGUCCGUCCGUCCAUCCCAAUGACGUCCAUCCAUCCCAAUGAUGUCCGUCUGUCCGUCCAUUGCAGUGCUGUCCCUCCAUCCAUCCCAUUGCGGUGUCCAUCUGUCCGUCCAUCCCAAUGGUGUCCUGCUGUCCGUCCGUCCAUCCCAAUGACGUCCAUUCAUCCCAAUGGUGUCCGUCCGUCCGUCCAUCACAGUGCUGUCCAUCCAUCCAUCCCAAUGGUGUCCGUCUGUCCGUCCGUCCAUUGCAGUGCUGUCCGUCCGUCCAUCCCAAUGAUGUCCGUCUGUCCGUCCGUCCCAAUGGUGUCUGUCUGUCCGUCCGUCCAUCCCAAUGACGUCCAUUCAUCCCAAUGAUGUCCGUCUGUCCAUCCAUCGCAGUGCUGUCUGUCUGUCCACUGCAGUGCUGUCCGUCCGUCCCAAUGGUGUCCGUCCGUCCGUCCAUCCCAAUGACGUCCAUCCAUCCCAAUGAUGUCCGUCUGUCCGUCCAUUGCAGUGCUGUCCGUCCAUCCAUCCCAUUGCGGUGUCCAUCUGUCCGUCCAUCCCAAUGGUGUCCGUCCGUCCGUCCAUCCAUCACAGUGCCGUCCAUCCGUCCCAUUGCGGUGUCCGUCUGUCCGUCCAUCCAUCCCAAUGGUGUCCGUCUGUCCGUCCAUCACAGUGCUGUCCGUCCAUCCCAAUGGUGUCCGUCUGUCCGUCCAUCCCAAUGACAUCCAUCCAUCCCAAUGGUGUCCGUCUGUCCGUCCGUCCAUUGCAGUGCUGUCCGUCCAUCCAUCCCAAUGAUGUCCGUCUGUCCGUCUGUCCCAAUGGUGUCCAUCCGUCCGUCCAUCCCAAUGACGUCCAUUCAUCCCAAUGAUGUCCGUCUGUCCGUCCAUCACAGUGCUGUCUGUCCAUCCCAAUGCUGUCCGUCUGUCCGUCCAUCCAUUGCAGUGCUGUCCGUCCAUCCAUCCCAAUGCUGUCCGUCUGUCCGUCCAUCCCAAUGACGUCCAUCCAUCCCAAUGGUGUCCGUCUGUCCGUCCGUCCAUUGCAGUGCUGUCCAUCCAUCCAUCCCAAUGGUGUCCGUCCGUCCGUCCAUCCCAAUGACGUCCAUUCAUCCCAAUGGUGUCCGUCUGUCCGUCCAUCACAGUGCCGUCCGUCCAUCCAUCCCAAUGGUGUCCGUCUGUCCGUCCAUCACAGUGCCGUCCGUCCAUCCAUCCCAAUGGUGUCCGUCUGUCCAUCCAUCCCAAUGACGUCCGUCCAUCUCAAUGGUGUCCGUCUGUCCGUCCAUUGCAGUGCUGUCCGUCCAUCCAUCCAAAUGGUGUCCGUCCGUCCGUCUGUCCAUCACAGUGCCGUCCAUCCAUCCAUCCCAUUGCGGUGUCCGUCUGUCCGUCCAUUGCAGUGCUGUCCGUCCAUCCCAAUGGUGUCCGUCCGUCCGUCCAUCCCAAUGACGUCCAUUCAUCCCAAUGAUGUCCGUCUGUCCGUCCAUUGCAGUGCUGUCCGUCCAUCCCAAUGGUGUCCGUCCGUCCGUCCAUCCCAAUGACGUCCAUUCAUCCCAAUGAUGUCUGUCCGUCCAUCCAUUGCAGUGCCGUCCAUCCAUCCAUCCCAAUGGUGUCCGUCUGUCUGUCCGUCACAGUGCUGUCCGUCCAUCCCAAUGCUGUCCGUCUGCCCAUCCAUCCCAGUGAUGUCCGUCCGUCCGUCCAUUGCAGUGCUGUCCGUCCGUCCAUCCCAAUGGUGUCCGUCUGUCCGUCCGUCCAUCCCAUCCCAUCCCCCCACCUCUCCAAUGCUGGAAGAGGCGAUGCGGAGGAGGAAGAAGAGGGUUUGGGGGGGGGGGGGGGGG
ensembl:lncRNA